rnacentral:rRNA from 1 species
CAGAUGACGCUGGCGGCGUGCUUAACACAUGCAAGUCGAACGAUGAUCUCCAGCUUGCUGGGGGGAUUAGUGGCGAACGGGUGAGUAACACGUGAGUAACCUGCCCUUGACUCUGGGAUAAGCCUGGGAAACUGGGUCUAAUACCGGAUACGACCGUCCCGCGCAUGCGGUGGUGGUGGAAAGCUUUUGCGGUUUUGGAUGGACUCGCGGCCUAUCAGCUUGUUGGUGGGGUAAUGGCCUACCAAGGCGACGACGGGUAGCCGGCCUGAGAGGGUGACCGGCCACACUGGGACUGAGACACGGCCCAGACUCCUACGGGAGGCAGCAGUGGGGAAUAUUGCACAAUGGGCGAAAGCCUGAUGCAGCGACGCCGCGUGAGGGAUGACGGCCUUCGGGUUGUAAACCUCUUUCAGUAGGGAAGAAGCGAAAGUGACGGUACCUGCAGAAGAAGCGCCGGCUAACUACGUGCCAGCAGCCGCGGUAAUACGUAGGGCGCAAGCGUUAUCCGGAAUUAUUGGGCGUAAAGAGCUCGUAGGCGGUUUGUCGCGUCUGCUGUGAAAGACCGGGGCUCAACUCCGGUUCUGCAGUGGGUACGGGCAGACUAGAGUGAUGUAGGGGAGACUGGAAUUCCUGGUGUAGCGGUGAAAUGCGCAGAUAUCAGGAGGAACACCGAUGGCGAAGGCAGGUCUCUGGGCAUUAACUGACGCUGAGGAGCGAAAGCAUGGGGAGCGAACAGGAUUAGAUACCCUGGUAGUCCAUGCCGUAAACGUUGGGCACUAGGUGUGGGGGACAUUCCACGUUUUCCGCGCCGUAGCUAACGCAUUAAGUGCCCCGCCUGGAGA